rnacentral:rRNA from 1 species
GAUGAACGCUGGCGGCGUGCCUAAUACAUGCAAGUCGAGCGAACAGACGAGGAGCUUGCUCCUCUGACGUUAGCGGCGGACGGGUGAGUAACACGUGGAUAACCUACCUAUAAGACUGGGAUAAAUUCGGGAGACCGGAGCUAAUACCGGAUAAUAUAUUGAACCGCAUGGUUCAAUAGUGAAAGACGGUUUUGCUGUCACUUAUAGAUGGAUCCGCGCCGCAUUAGCUAGUUGGUAAGGUAACGGCUUACCAAGGCAACGAUGCGUAGCCGACCUGAGAGGGUGAUCGGCCACACUGGAACUGAGACACGGUCCAGACUCCUACGGGAGGCAGCAGUAGGGAAUCUUCCGCAAUGGGCGAAAGCCUGACGGAGCAACGCCGCGUGAGUGAUGAAGGUCUUCGGAUCGUAAAACUCUGUUAUUAGGGAAGAACAAAUGUGUAAGUAACUAUGCACGUCUUGACGGUACCUAAUCAGAAAGCCACGGCUAACUACGUG